AUGGAUAUAGGUUUUAUAAAGGGACCAUUAACCCCUGAGGAGAAGAUCCGACGAAGGGCUAAUAACCUCUGCUUAUACUGUGCUUCAGACAAACACACUGUCAGGGACUGUCCUUCCCUCCUGAAACAAAACAAGGUGGGAGUCACAUCGAAUCAACGCUCCCGCGAUUAUUGACUCAGGAGCUACAGCCUCCUACAUAGAUACUGUAUUCACUAAAUUCAAUAAAAUUCCACUUGUGCAAAAAA